CGCGCGCGCUCGCCGGGCUGCCGACAUCGCCCGCUCGUCUGGCUGGCCACGAGCUCGCAAUUCGUGCGCGUCUGAUGCGACGGCCGUGUCAUUAAUUACGUCCCUUGAUAAUUCUGUCCUGGGCGCUUCUUUACGGCACCCACCGCGCUCUGCUGAAGUUGAACCGCCCUCCUUCGUCAUCGAGGUGUUUUUCGUCGCUGUCCACGGCCCCUUACUCCGGGCAAUGAAUAUUCAUAGCCCAAUCGGCUGGUCGCGAGCGCACGCUUUAUAGCGCUCAGGACCUGCGGCUCUGUGAGACAACGGCACGGAGGGGGGGACGAAGUGUGCGUCAGCAACUCUGGCUGGACAUGAUCGAGUGCCUCGUCGCUUCUAGACCGUCUCCAUUGUUUCACCAUUUCCCUGUGCGUAUCAUACACUCUAUAUACCGUAAUUCGUGGACGCAGUUCCUGCCGUGCAGACUGAUCGAAGAUGAACACGCCGCAGCUAGCCCAGCUCCUCAACGCUACGUACAAGUACAGGCACAUGCAAAGAAACAAUACUGGAGUCUGGAAGCAUGGUUAGAAGGCAAGCAUCCAGUGCAAGUACAGAAACCAAAGCAGCACUUCACUGGUCAAUGUAAUAAAAAAAAGAAAGAACUUACAGGGUCCCUUAGGAUUCGC
rnacentral:lncRNA from 1 species